ACCGGCUAACUACGCCAGCAGCCGCGGUAAUACGUAGGGUGCAAGCGUUAAUCGGAAUUACUGGGCGUAAAGCGUGCGUGCAGGCGGUUCGGAAAGAAAGAUGUGAAAUCCCAGAGCUUAACUUUGGAACUGCAUUUUUAACUACCGAGCUAGAGUGUGUCAGAGGGAGGUGGAAUUCGCGUGUAGCAGUGAAAUGCGGGUAGACAGUGAGGAACACCGAUGGCGAAGGCAGCCUGGGAUAACACUGACGCUCAUGCACGAAAGCGUGGGGAGCAAACAGGAUUAGAUACCCUGGUAGUCCAGCGCCCCAAACGAUGUCAACUAGCUGUUGGGGCCUUCGGGCUCCGGUAGCGCAGCUAACGCGUGAAGUUGACCGCCUGGGGAGUACGGUCGCAAGAUUAAAACUCAAAGGAAUUGACGGGGACCUGCACAAGCGGUGGAUGAUGUGGAUUAAUUCGAUGCAACGCGAAAAACCUUACCUACCCUUGGACAUGUCUGGAAUCCCGAAGAGAUUUGGGAGUGCUCGCAAGAGAACCGGAACACAGGUGCUGCAUGGUUGUCGUCAGCUCGUGUCGUGAGAUGUUGGUUAAGUCCCGCAACGAGCGCAACCCUUGUCAUUAGUUGCUGCCAGCGGCACUCGACGAGAUCGCUGCGACAAACCGGAGGAAGUGUGGGAUGGACGUCAAGUCCUCAUGGCCCUUAUGGGGUAGGGCUUCACACGUCAUACAGCUGUCGGUCGGAGGUCGCCAACCCGCGCAGGGGGAGCCAAUCCCAGAAACCCGAUCGUAGUCCGGAUCGCAGUCUGCAACUCGACUGCGUGAAGUCGGAACUGCUAGUAAUCGCGGAUCAGCAUGUCGCGGUGAAUACGUUCCUGGUCUUGUACACACCUGCCCGUCACACGAUGAGUGGGUUUUACCAGAAGUAGUUAGCUCAACCGUAAGGAGGGCGAUUACCACGGUAGGAUUCAUGACUGGGGUGAAGUCGUAACAAGGUAA
rnacentral:misc_RNA from 1 species